UUUAUUCAAUUCAGAUAUGGUGUCGGCGUCAUAUCUAAUGCAAAAAGAUACGAAGGAGGAGGAUUGGAAGAAAAUUCUGCUGAAAUCUAGGCCAUAUUUUCUUCGGGAGUUAAUAUGGGCCUGACCUUUCAUUCCGGACGAAGAAGCUUGCAGUGUGUUUGGCUGAUGUGCAAUUUAUGCGUAUGCUUGGACGUUUGGUGAUCGUUUCCACUAACUGUUCUUCAGGGUCGUGAAUAUUUUCUCACUACGGCUAUGCGUUUACUUAUCAUAAAAUGCGGUAUUAAGCAGGAGACGUGGAUUAAUUGAUAUUACACGUCGGUGUAUCGACUUAAUGGAAAUUAUCAAACGGAAUUUGACAUGCGAGUGAGUGGUGAAUGGCCUGAGUAGAAGACGACGGAGAGUGCAAUAAGGGUACUAGCACGGAACGUGGGUGCGAAGCGUUGACUAUAUGAAUAUGCCACCACUGAUCGAAAGGGAAUCCGGUUAAUAUUCCGGAACCGAGACAUGGAGAAUCGCCAGUCGUUAGCGGCGAGACAAAGUGCGGUGACGCAAGCGCACUCAAUGAAUGGCCGGCGAUAGUUCCGGGAAGAGUUUUCUUUUCUUUUCAACGGUCGGACACCCUAGAAACGGUUCAUUCGGAGAUAGGGUCGUUGUUCCCGCAAAGCGUCACGUCUGCCGAGGCGUACGGAACGCUGUCGUCGGUUCAUAAAAAUUUGAGGAAGGCAAAAAUUCUCAUGCUCGGUCGUACUCAUAUCCACAGCAGGUCUCCAAGGUGCAUUGCCUCUUGUCGAUUGAAUAAUGUAAGUAAGGGAAGUCGGCAAAUCACAUCUGUAACAUGUGAACGUGUUUCUGGUUUGAUCGAGGGUUCUGGCGCGAGUUGGAACCUCAGAUCGAUCGGGACGCGCGACCGAUGCAUGGACCGUGGCAGCUGAUGGCUCGAUAUGAGACUUGUGCAUUUCCUUCGGCGUUGAAAGGAUAACUUACAACUGGCACGGACAAGUGGAUUCUGACAAAGCAUUGUGAUGGCCGUCGACCGGUGUUGACAAAAUGUGAUUUCUGAAGGUCAAGGUGAAGAAAUUGAAUGAAGUGCGGAUAAACGGCUUGAGUAACUAUGACUCUCUUAAAGGUGAGUGCCAAACAGAAGAACAGCCGUUGGAAGAGAUCGGACACCAGUAGAAAGACAGUUCUCGAAUCAAAGUCGUGGCGUUUGCUGAUGACAUCGUGCUGAUAGCAGGAUCGAAUGCUGACAUAAAUCGGUUACAGCACGAAACUGCGUUGUCCCUUCAUCAAUAUAGUUUAGACCUCAAUCCAGAAAACGUCACCGUCUGAAGCUCUGUCCAGUACCAAAAUCAAAAAAAGCCACUUGGCACACAGCGAAGGAUUGGGACUUUGUGAGUUCCACAGGGUUACUCUCCUAUGAUUCAAUUAAACAGUAUCCUACACAACCCUGGAGUGAACAUCCUUGUUUCGGGUGAGACCAAAAUAGAAAUCUAUCCNNNNNNNNNNNNNNNNNNNNNNNNNNNNAAGUGUCCCUCAAGAAGAUCGUUAGCUCUUACCCAAAGCUCAACUAGAAGCUAGAGCUACUUCGUCGCUACUUCUGUCCAAGGCUCGCUGUCACGCAACAACGACGUACCCAGUUUCUUGGUUGAUAGUAGAAAUUGACAAGGCUAUCCGAAUUGCAGAUAAGGAAAUCUUAAAACUGCCCCAGGUAGUAUGUACCAUAACUUCGAGGGGGGAACAGAAGCAGGGUAUACCGAAUCUAGUCGAAAUGGCCUCCAUGCAAUCCUUAAAGAACGUCUGCAGAGAGGUGAUGGACGAAACGCGUCCGGCUACCAUCUAGUGAAUUGUAACACCAUUCAGAGCUUGGCAGCGAGAGUGGUGGCUAAAACAGGAGUAAAAUGGCUGUCACUGGGUAAAAUCGAUCAGUGCCAGAAGAGCUACGCCGGGAUUCACCAACCUACUCCAGCAGACUUAUCAGGGACGGCCGUUAGUAUUCAAACAUGCCCAGGAAUCCAAUAAGUCGCUCACUGAUGAAGACUGCAAUCGGAGUACUCUGAUAAACGAAAUCAAACUGCAGAAUGACCUCCUUCCAACCAAUUCAUUACAUUCUGCUGGGAAAGUGUCAGCGAUAGAGCCCAGUACCAGCCGGUUUAGAUGAUCUCAGAAUCACGGUGACUCAAACCCAGAAACAACCGUAUAUCACUUUCAUCUUCCAUGAUCGCUUCUCCUUUUGGGUCCCGGAGGCAGACGCUUCAGACAGUGCUUCGAACGAUCCUAAUUCUGUACAAGAGUCUGAUCGGCGGAGCACAACCAGAGUCUAUAACAGACUUCUUCCAUUCAUUUACUCCAGGUUAAUCCCCGCCGUCCCUUAGGUAUUCUGCCAUUCAGUUAAGGAAAUAAUACUUGCUUAGUUUUCGUUUCAGGAGGCAUUCGCAAAAUGUAUUCGAAUCAUCACAGCCGUCAUUUCUCAAUCUCUACACCAAAAAGCAUCGGCUGCACACCAAGACACUGGCGGAUUUCCGUAUUUCGGAUCACGUUGAGAUGCGUAAGGCCAGCGACUCGUCUAAGAAAGCCCAUUUCAGCAGCUUGUACCCGGGUUCGAAGUUU
rnacentral:ncRNA from 1 species